rnacentral:rRNA from 1 species
GACGAACGCUGGCGGCGUGCUUAACACAUGCAAGUCGAACGGAAAGGCCCUGCUUGCAGGGUGCUCGAGUGGCGAACGGGUGAGUAACACGUGGGUGAUCUGCCCCUUAUUUUGGGAUAAGCCUGGGAAACUGGGUCUAAUACUGGAUAGGACCAUGCUGUAGGUGGUGUGGUGGAAAGAUUAGUUUCGGUAAGGGAUGAGCUCGCGGCCUAUCAGCUUGUUGGUGGGGUAAUGGCCUACCAAGGCGUCGACGGGUAGCCGGCCUGAGAGGGUGGACGGCAACAUUGGGACUGAGAUACGGCCCAGACUCCUACGGGAGGCAGCAGUGGGGAAUAUUGCACAAUGGGCGCAAGCCUGACGCAGCGACGCCGCGUGGGGGAUGACGGCCUUCGGGUUGUAAACUCCUUUCAGCCAUGACGAAGCCCUUGUGGUGACGGUAGUGGUAGAAGAAGCACCGGCUAACUAUGUG